GGGAACCUCAAUGGUUGCGAUGAGCCAGUGCCCUCCGUGCGAGGUAGCCCCAGCAGCGAGACGCCCUCCCCUGGCAGUGACUCUUCGAGCGUCAGCAGCUCCAGCUCUACCACCUCCUGCCGCGCCUGUGAGAUCUCCCCUGCACUGUUUGAGGCCCCACGUGGCUACAGCGUGCUGGGCGGCCAGCGAGAGCCUUCGACUCGUGAUGAGGACGAUGACCUGCUGCAGUUUGCCAUCCAGCAGAGCCUGCUUGAGGCGGGCAGUGAGUAUGACCAGGUCACUAUCUGGGAGGCGCUAACCAACAGCAAACCAGGCACCCACCCCAUGUCCUAUGAAGGCCGCCGACAGGACAGGAGCGCCCCACCCACGCCGCAGCGCCAGCCCAUGCCCCCGGCUCCGGUGCCCAGCCCUCGGCCCAGCCCAGGUCCCGGCUCCCGCAGCCACAUGUUCCGGAGCUACGACGAGCAGCUGCGGCUGGCUAUGGAGCUGUCAGCUCAGGAGCAGGAGGAGAGGCGGCGGCGAGCGCGCCAGGAGGAGGAAGAGUUGGAGCGGAUCCUGCGGCUCUCGUUGACCGAACAGUAGCGCCUCCUGCUGGGACCCUCGCCCACUCUACGCAGGACCGGGGUCUGCGCACCUGCCGAGCGGCUGCUGGAGUCUGGAGCCAUCGCAUUGGGGGUGUAGCAGCGCAUCAGGCUUGAGAUGCCAGGGGUUUGAUACAGGAGCGGAGUAACUUUCCAGGCCAGAGCCCUAGAGGCAUGGCUGGUCUCCCUGCUUUGUUGUACGGUGAUCCCUAAUCCGCUUCUCUGGGCUCAGAUCUGUCCAAGGGCGGAGGCAGGUGGUAUCGAAAAGGAAACGAAUCCUUGAGAGGAGCAUUGUCCCCGU
rnacentral:lncRNA from 1 species